rnacentral:rRNA from 1 species
CCUACGGGAGGCAGCAGUGGGGGAUAUUGCACAAUGGGGGAAACCCUGAUGCAGCGACGCCGCGUGUGGGAAGACGGUCCUCUGGAUUGUAAACCACUGUCCCCAGGGACGAAGAUGACGGUACCUGGGGAGGAAGCUCCGGCUAACUACGUGCCAGCAGCCGCGGUAAUACGUAGGGAGCAAGCGUUGUCCGGAAUUACUGGGUGUAAAGGGAGCGUAGGCGGGAUGGCAAGUUGGGUGUUAAAUCUACCGGCUCAACUGGUAGUCGCACUCAAAACUGCUAUUCUUGAGUGAAGUAGAGGCAGGCGGAAUUCCUAGUGUAGCGGUGAAAUGCGUAGAUAUAUGGAAGAACACCAGUGGCGAAGGCGGCUCUCUGGUCUGCAACUGACGCUGAGGCUCGAAAGCAUGGGUAGCGAACAGGAUUAGAUACCCCAGUAGUC